AUGAUCCUGUGGCUAAAUUUGGUUUCCUUCCUAGCUGUCCUCAGAGGUGUUAAACCUGAGGUCCAGUUGGUGGAGUCUGGAGGGGAAGUGAAAAGACCUGGACAGUCCCUUCAUCUCACCUGCCAAGCUUCUGGCUUCACUUUUAGCAGCUCUGCCAUGAACUGGGCGAGACAGUCUCCUGGGGAAGGACUGGAAUGGGUGGCAUACAUAAGCUCCGGUUCCAGUAGUAUUUACUACUCAGAUAAAGUGAAGGGGCGCUUCACCAUCUUCAGGGACAAUGCUAAAAGCCAGCUGUAUCUCCAAGUGAACAAUCUCAAACCUGAAGACACGGCAGUCUAUUACUGUGCAAGAGACACAAUGAGAGGAAGUGAAUCUGAAGCUUGGCAAAAACCUACCAUUCAUCAGAAGAGCCCUAUAACUCCAUGA